UUAUGGCCAUAUCAUGUUGAAACACCAGUUCUCAUACAAUCACCAAAGUUAAGCAACAAUAAGCCUGGUCAGUAUCUAGAUGGAUGAUGGCUUGGGAAAAUCACGAGCUGUAAG